GCUAAAUAAGAGCGUAUGGGGAAUGCCUAGGCUCUCAGAGGCGAUGAAGGACGUGAUAAGCUGCGAAAAGCUGCGGGGAUUGGCACAUACAAAUUGAUCCGCAGAUAUCCGAAUGGGGCAACCCGUCAUGUUGAAGACAUGUCAUCCGAAAGGAAGCGAACCCGGAGAACUGAAACAUCUAAGUACCCGGAGGAAGAGAAAACAAUCAAGUGAUUCCGCAAGUAGUGGCGAGCGAACGCGGAACAGCCCAAACCGCAUCCUACGGGGUGCGGGGUAGUAGGACCUGCGUAAUUCAAGUAAUCUUAAAUCGAAGCUGUCUGGAAAGCAGCGCCACAGAAGGU
rnacentral:rRNA from 1 species